UGAGUAACCUGCCCUUCACUCUGGGAUAACUCCGGGAAACCGGGGCUAAUACUGGAUAUGACUCGAACAGGCAUCUGUUUCGGGUGGAAAGAUUUAUUGGUGGAGGAUGGACUCGCGGCCUAUCAGCUUGUUGGUGAGGUAAUGGCUCACCAAGGCGACGACGGGUAGCCGGCCUGAGAAGGCGAUCGGCCACACUGGGACUGAGACACGGCCCAGACUCCUACGGGAGCA
rnacentral:rRNA from 1 species